UACGAAGGGUGCUAGCGUUGUUCGGAAUUACUGGGCGUAAAGGGCAUGUAGGUUGUGCGAUAAGUUAGUGGUGAAAUCCCGGGGCUUAACCUCGGAAUUGCCAUUGAUACUGUUGUGCUAGAGUAUAGAAGAGGAUAGCGGAAUACCCAGUGUAGAGGUGAAAUUUGUAGAUAUUGGGUAGAACACCGGAAGCGAAGGCGGCUAUCUGGGCUAUUACUGACGCUGAGAUGCGAAAGCGUGGGGAUCAAAC
rnacentral:rRNA from 1 species